CGUGUAGGCGGUUGGGUAAGUCAGAUGUGAAAGCCUUCUGCUUAACAGAAGAAGUGCAUUUGAAACUGCUCGGCUAGAGUACGGGAGAGGAGAGUGGAAUUCCCGGUGUAGAGGUGAAAUUCGUAGAUAUCGGGAGGAACACCAGUGGCGAAGGCGGCUCUCUGGUCCGAUACUGACGCUGAGACGCGAAAGCGUGGGGAGCAAACAGGAUUAGAUACCCUGGUAGUCCACGCCGUAAACGAGUGGGCACUAGGUGUAGGAGGUAUUGACCCCUUCUGUGCCGAAGCUAACGCAUUAAGUGCCCCGCCUGGGGAGUACGGCCGCAAGGCUAAAA
rnacentral:rRNA from 1 species